AUGAACGCUGGCGGCGUGCCUAAUACAUGCAAGUCGAACGAGUUCUGAUUAUUGAAAGGUGCUUGCAUCUUGAUUUAAUUUUGAACGAGUGGCGGACGGGUGAGUAACACGUGGGUAACCUGCCCUUAAGUGGGGGAUAACAUUUGGAAACAGAUGCUAAUACCGCAUAAAUCCAAAAACCGCAUGGUUCUUGGCUGAAAGAUGGCGUAAGCUAUCGCUUUUGGAUGGACCCGCGGCGUAUUAGCUAGUUGGUGAGGUAACGGCUCACCAAGGCAAUGAUACGUAGCCGAACUGAGAGGUUGAUCGGCCACAUUGGGACUGAGACACGGCCCAAACUCCUACGGGAGGCAGCAGUAGGGAAUCUUCCACAAUGGACGCAAGUCUGAUGGAGCAACGCCGCGUGAGUGAAGAAGGCUUUCGGGUCGUAAAACUCUGUUGUUGGAGAAGAAUGGUCGGCAGAGUAACUGUUGUCGGCGUGACGGUAUCCAACCAGAAAGCCACGGCUAACUACGUGCCAGCAGCCGCGGUAAUACGUAGGUGGCAAGCGUUAUCCGGAUUUAUUGGGCGUAAAGCGAGCGCAGGCGGUUUUUUAAGUCUGAUGUGAAAGCCCUCGGCUUAACCGAGGAAGUGCAUCGGAAACUGGGAAACUUGAGUGCAGAAGAGGACAGUGGAACUCCAUGUGUAGCGGUGAAAUGCGUAGAUAUAUGGAAGAACACCAGUGGCGAAGGCGGCUGUCUGGUCUGUAACUGACGCUGAGGCUCGAAAGCAUGGGUAGCGAACAGGAUUAGAUACCCUGGUAGUCCAUGCCGUAAACGAUGAAUGCUAGGUGUUGGAGGGUUUCCGCCCUUCAGUGCCGCAGCUAACGCAUUAAGCAUUCCGCCUGGGGAGUACGACCGCAAGGUUGAAACUCAAAGGAAUUGACGGGGGCCCGCACAAGCGGUGGAGCAUGUGGUUUAAUUCGAAGCAACGCGAAGAACCUUACCAGGUCUUGACAUCUUUUGAUCACCUGAGAGAUCAGGUUUCCCCUUCGGGGGCAAAAUGACAGGUGGUGCAUGGUUGUCGUCAGCUCGUGUCGUGAGAUGUUGGGUUAAGUCCCGCAACGAGCGCAACCCUUAUGACUAGUUGCCAGCAUUUAGUUGGGCACUCUAGUAAGACUGCCGGUGACAAACCGGAGGAAGGUGGGGAUGACGUCAAAUCAUCAUGCCCCUUAUGACCUGGGCUACACACGUGCUACAAUGGAUGGUACAACGAGUUGCGAGACCGCGAGGUCAAGCUAAUCUCUUAAAGCCAUUCUCAGUUCGGACUGUAGGCUGCAACUCGCCUACACGAAGUCGGAAUCGCUAGUAAUCGCGGAUCAGCACGCCGCGGUGAAUACGUUCCCGGGCCUUGUACACACCGCCCGUCACACCAUGAGAGUUUGUAACACCCGAAGCCGGUGGCGUAACCCUUUUAGGGAGCGAGCCGUCUAAGGUGGGACAAAUGAUUAGGGUG
rnacentral:rRNA from 1 species